GUGCCAGCCGCCGCGGUAAUACGGGGGGAGCAAGCGUUAUCCGGAAUUACUGGGCGUAAAGCGUGUGUAGGCGGGAGUUUAAGUGCAAUGCGAAAUCUUGUGGCUCAACCAUAUAGACUGUAUUGCAUACUGGACACCCUGAGGAUGGCAGAGGCAAGUGGAACUAGCAGUGUAGCAGUGAAAUGCGUAGAUAUUGCUAAGAACACCAAUGGCGAAGGCAGCUUGCUGGGCCAUAUCUGACGCUGAGACACGAAAGCGUGGGGAGCAAACAGGAUUAGAUACCCCAGUAGUCC
rnacentral:rRNA from 1 species